UUCUCGGACGAGUUGUACGAAUUAUUUAGGGCUUUCAAGCUGCACGCCACGCUGAGAAUCGCCGUCGCCUGUUGUAUCAAUAUGUGCGGCGCCGUUCACUGUUCCGACCUCGCGGUUGUUGGAUUCCACACCAGGCCACCCGAGGGUCCACCACGAAUAACUUGCUGCGACAUGCGAAAUUCCGUCCGUAAUCGCCUCCUGUUCCCACCGGGGGCCAUCAGGCGGCAUUCUGGCAGGAACAUUUUCAGCGUCGAGGGUCAGGGACGGCCGUUGCUUGUUUUGCGGUCCUGUACACAAAGGGUGUGCUACACAAACGCACAA
rnacentral:rRNA from 1 species